GAUGAACGCUGACAGAAUGCUUAACACAUGCAAGUCUACUUGAACUUCGGUUUGGGUGGCGGACGGGUGAGUCACGCGUAAAGAACUUGCCUCACAGUUAGGGACAACAUUUGGAAACGAAUGCUAAUACCUGAUAUUAUGAUUUUAGGGCAUCCUAGGAUUAUGAAAGCUAUAUGUGCUGUGAGAGAGCUUUGCGUCCCAUUAGCUAGUUGGAGAGGUAACGGCUCACCAAGGCGAUGAUGGGUAGCCGGCCUGAGAGGGUGAACGGCCACAAGGGGACUGAGACACGGCCCGUACUCCUACGGGAGGCAGCAGUGGGGAAUAUUGGACAAUGGACCAAAAGUCUGAUCCAGCAAUUCUGUGUGCACGAUGACGUUUUUCGGAAUGUAAAGUGCUUUCAGUUGGGAAGAAAAAAAUGACGGUACCAACAGAAGAAGUGACGGCUAAAUACGUG
rnacentral:rRNA from 1 species